UGCAGUCGAGCGGUAGAGAGGUGCUUGCACCUCUUGAGAGCGGCGGACGGGUGAGUAAUGCCUAGGAAUCUGCCUGGUAGUGGGGGAUAACGUCCGGAAACGGACGCUAAUACCGCAUACGUCCUACGGGAGAAAGCAGGGGACCUUCGGGCCUUGCGCUAUCAGAUGAGCCUAGGUCGGAUUAGCUAGUUGGUGAGGUAAAGGCUCACCAAGGCGACGAUCCGUAACUGGUCUGAGAGGAUGAUCAGUCACACUGGAACUGAGACACGGUCCAGACUCCUACGGGAGGCAGCAGUGGGGAAUAUUGGACAAUGGGCGAAAGCCUGAUCCAGCCAUGCCGCGUGUGUGAAGAAGGUCUUCGGAUUGUAAAGCACUUUAAGUUGGGAGGAAGGGUCGUUACCUAAUACGUGACGAUUUUGACGUUACCGACAGAAUAAGCACCGGCUAACUCUGUGCC
rnacentral:rRNA from 1 species